rnacentral:misc_RNA from 1 species
AGAGCUGGUGGAGCUACAGG